CAGAAACCGCGAGCCGUUUCCUUUCUCUUCGGAAAUGGCAGUUUUGUUGUCCUGGAUGAAGGCGAGCGCCGCUGCCUCCCUGAAUGCUGAGCACGCUGGCUUCGCGGUGCCCGGAAGGAAGCCUUUGAAGACCCUGACUCCAGUGUCUCCAGCUGAGAGGCUGAGCUUGCCAGCUCCAUUUCUGACUGCUCAUGGAGCAGAAUCAGUGACCAAGGAGAAAAGGGCUGAGUGAAGAAACAAGUGUGAGUGCCAAGAUGAUGCCAAGGGCUGUGAUUUCCUGGUGGGAAGAAAGAAGGAAUAGAAGCCAAAGGAAGGGGGAUGAAAAGCAAAACCAAGAAUCACAAGGAAUCAAGUUCGGAGAGAAUUUUGGCAGAGAUUUUGAGAGGGGGGCUUUAAGUCAGCCAUGGACAUACUGAAGCAAGAGGAAUGAAGGGAAAAAAGAAAAGGGGGGAAAAAAAGAAGAAGAAUGGGGCCAAGGAGGAUUUAAGACUACCAUUAUAGGUUACAAGUUGAAUUCUUUUUAAUAUUCUUCAAGCAAUGACAGUAAAGAUUCAAAUAACUUUUAAAUUACCUUUGAUUUCUAAACCAAGUUUCUUGGAAUGUGAAAGUCGCCAAGACUGGGCCCUGCAGGGCCUGGGUUGGGCUACUACUGCCUAUGGAGAUUCUGAGGGUAUUAACCUUAAUAAUGGCAUGAAAUCAAUAAAAAUCAUC
rnacentral:lncRNA from 1 species